GGGGAUUUAGCUCAGCGGCAUAAGCGCCUGCCUUGCAAGCAGGCAGUCUAGAGUUCGAUCCCCG
rnacentral:tRNA from 1 species